rnacentral:lncRNA from 1 species
CGGACACCUGGCAGGGAGCUAGCGGGAGGGCUUGGGGAAUCUGCAAAUGUUCACAGUUCCAAGGGACCGCGGGGGAAAUUUACACCUCCUCCCCCUACUGCUUGUGCUUCCUUUCGCUUUGAAGUUCUGUGGCUCCGCACUGGAGUUGGGGAGGCAAGUCCUCCAGCCUCGGGCUUUUAAUAUUCACAUCACGUCCUCUUUGCAGCUACUUUGGGAGGAUUGAAAGCUACAAAGGACGUUUGGGUGACCUCCCCACAACACAAGGUGGGGUGGGGGGUUUCAACCCACACUGCCCCAUCUUGAAUCGCCAUGGAUGACCAAGUAGUUGAAACACGACGGGGGACUUAGGUGCCAGUCCUUCUAGGCAGAAGGGCCCUCUUGGGGACUCAAGUUGGCAAGGUUGCAUCAUCUUGUAACUUCAGUAUCUAGAACAUGAGUGCGUCUCAGUCACUUGGGAAAGAGAAAAGAAAGACUAAAUAAUCACACCUAUGCCUUUUACUCCUCAGCCUGGAAGUGACACAGAUCAUGUCUGCUCACAUUUCAUGGACAGAAUUAGUUUUAUGGCCCCACCUAACUGCAGGGGCUGAGAAAUGUAGAGGUGCGAAUGUAACUUGUGGUGAGCGUUACUGUCUCUGCUGCAUGUCAUCAGCAUAUGGGAGGUGAUUAAAUCUGAAAGAGAAAGGACAAGAUCGAUCAAGGUAAAGCCCACAGAACGAAAAGAGAAUAGUCAAGGACAAAACCCAGGGAAUCACCUUCUAUAAGUGAAACAAGGAAGAGAGGAGCCCAAGGAUGACACCGAAAAGUGACAUGAAAAGAGUUAAGAAUUAUGAGCCAAUAGUGUUACUCGAGCCAAGGAAGUAUGUCUAUACAGAGGUGCAGAGCAGCAAAUACAGCCUGGAGGAGCAGUAGGAUAAAGACUGAAGUCUCCACUGCAUUUGACCAUCAAGAGGGGGCUGGAGAAUGUCUUAAUAGAAGUGUCUCCUUGCAGUGAAUAUUUACCCAGGUUUUUGUUCUAGAAAAAAAUGGUCAUUUCUAGAGCUGUAUGGGACAGGGCUGUGUUCCUGAGGCCAUAGCCCCCAGAAGUCUUCUGAAAGUGAUGGUGGCAAUUCAGGAGAAGAAAGUGUUAUUUCCUUUUUGUAUUUUCACUUGAAAAAAAACUGAGAAGAGUGUGACUAGUCGAUGAUAUUUUGACCAUACAGCUGUUGAGCACUUCUGAGGAAGAGGAACAUGGAAGAGACAUUUGUUGAGUACCUAUUACAUGCCAGGCAAUUCCCAUACAUAUUUUACUUAAUCUUCACAACCGCCCAGAGAAAGAGAUCUCUUUUAUCCUUAUUUUAUGGACAUGACAAAACUGAAUAGAAGGCCCUAGUUUACAAACUCCAGGGGCUCCGCUCCAUUUGCUAUCAGCUAAGCAGACUUGGAGCGUGGACCCCUAUUUCUGCUUCUCCCGGGACACUGUAAAUCUCUCCAUUUGCCAUCAGUCUGGAGCUGUGAGCAUGCAGAUGAAAGGCGUUGUGGAUCUGUGAACUACCGUAGCUCUACCUUCGGAGGAACUGACUUUCAGCUUUCAGCCACAUGCAUGAGAGGGGCUGAUUCCAUCUGUCGACCUGUCAGGCUGCCUCUCUUUUGGGCUUCUUUCUUCCCUUCUUGGAGUUUCUUUAAUAAAACAUUUCACUCCCUUGAAAAGCGUCUCCCCGAGUGGCUGAGGAGGGCCCAAUAUGGUUCCAUUUAGUUCUCUGGGGAUGAAGAGGAAGCAUCCUCCCGUUACGUAACUUUCCCAGCAAGUGGUAUUUCUGUUUACUCUCCCUCAAAAAACUAUACAAAAAUAAAUGCUAGUUGUCCUCCCAGCUCAUGAGUUCCACUCUGCCCACAGUUUCUGCUCGGAACUUCCCCACUCCCUUGGCGUCCUCCUCAUUCUCCUCCUUUCUUGGACUCCUGACUCCCGUAAAUACUGAUGGGAGGGCGAGUGUGGCGC